CGAGGAAAGGGGCACGUAGAGGCAGAUUAGGACAAAUCCUUAUGAGUUUGAAAUUUAACCAGGCAUUGAAAUGCAUAUAAAUAUAACUUUAUAUAUCUUAUUACUGAUGCUAAAAAUGUGUCUACCUAUAAUUCUAUGGUUUUCAAAGAAGAUUCCUUGAACAAAAAAUAUUUCGAGACGGCCGUGAGAAUUUUUUUCGUUAGUAUAUGGAAACGGAAAGAGAAUAGAUUGAUCAGCGAUGAACACAU